CCUACGGGAGGCAGCAGUGGGGAAUAUUGCACAAUGGGGGAAACCCUGAUGCAGCGACGCCGCGUGAGUGAAGAAGUAUUUCGGUAUGUAAAGCUCUAUCAGCAGGGAAGAAAAUGACGGUACCUGAUUAAGAAGCCCCGGCUAACUACGUGCCAGCAGCCGCGGUAAUACGUAGGGGGCAAGCGUUAUCCGGAUUUACUGGGUGUAAAGGGAGCGUAGACGGUGAUGCAAUUCAGAAGUGAAAGCCCGGGGCUCAACUCCGGGACUGCUUUUGAAACUGUGUGACUGGAGUGCAGGAGAGGUAAGCGGAAUUCCGGGUGUAGCGGUGAAAGGCGUAGAUAUAAGGAGGAACACCAGUGGAGAAGGCAGCUUACCAAGCUACUUCUGACGUGGAGGCACGAAAGCGUGGGGAGCAAACAGGAUUAGAGACCCAAGGAGUC
rnacentral:rRNA from 1 species